UACGUAGGUGGCAAGCGUUGUCCGGAAUUAUUGGGCGUAAAGCGCGCGCAGGUGGUUUCUUAAGUCUGAUGUGAAAGCCCACGGCUCAACCGUGGAGGGUCAUUGGAAACUGGGGAACUUGAGUGCAGAAGAGGAAAGUGGAAUUCCAAGUGUAGCGGUGAAAUGCGUAGAGAUUUGGAGGAACACCAGUGGCGAAGGCGACUUUCUGGUCUGCAACUGACACUGAGGCGCGAAAGCGUGGGGAGCGAACAGG
rnacentral:rRNA from 1 species